AGAGGGGGGUCGGGAGGCGGUGAGGCGGGGUGGAAGUGAGAACGAGAAAACCCGUGCUAAAACCUCUUCCAAGAGAAAAAGAAGAAAGAGCGCCCGCCCCCCCCCUCCUCGCCGCCGCCGGUGCAAAAGGCGGUAACCAACCACCCUAGCCCACACCUGGUCGGUGCUCCACACCCUGGGCAGGAAGGGGGUGGGAAGGAGGGCGCAGGAGGCCUGCCCUUUUUGUAUUCAAUUGCCCGUGCGUCUAUGCAAAAAGCCAGGAGCUGGGCUGCACCCCGGGUGGAGCGCGCAAUGGCUGAAAGCUUUUCUGUUUUGGGAUGUGGCUCUACCUGCCCGCCCCUUCCCCCUCCCCCACGUGGUGCAGGUAGUUCCAGCAGGUCUUUCCUGGCGCUGACCACAGAUUCACAGUGGGGCUCAACCUGCCCAAUGGGGAUGAUUCCUACAGAGAGAUACUGUUACAAGGACAGAAGAGAUUUGUCAUGGAACUUGAAAUUCCUGUCCUAUUACCAGACCAUACAGCCUAGGGGAUACUACACAUAUUUCUUAACUAACCCCCCCUAAUUACUUUGUGAUUUAUGUAAUUAAUUAUAUUGCAUUCUAUAUUUUGUAUUAAAAAGCAUUAAUGUGUUAAAUAUAAGCAUUGAAAAAUAUACCACAAUUCUUACAAGCUGUUUUGGUACUUCUUCAAUUCUUAAUGUAUCAACAGCUGCCCCAGGUUCAAAUGACCUAAAUCUCUCUUUACCUCUGAAAGGCUCUGACCAAUGUUCAUUUUCACUUGUGUGUGCGUGUGUGUGUAUGUGUGUGUGCCCUUAAAACUCAUUGUUCUUUUAACCAGUGCUAAGUAAACACCAACUAACCACCUACUUAUACUAAGUCUAGGAAAGGAAUACAAAAAUUUCUUUUCUUUUCUUUCUUUUUAAGCAAGCUCUAUGCCCAAUGUGGGGCUUGAACUCAAGACCCCAAGAUAAAGAAUUACAUGCUCUACCCACUGAGCCAGCCAGGAGACCCCCCAAAUUUCUUUUCUUAACAAAAUCAUAGUCUACUGAAACAGAAAGAAAAACAUAUGAAGUGGCACUCAAUAAUUCAGGGAUAAAUUUAUCAUCUGUGGGUUUUUUCACAUUGAUAAUGUAAAAAUUUCAGUCUGAAUACCUUUCUUAAUGUUUAGAUUAUUUGUAUAGAGAUUCAACAUUCUGUGAUCCUUUCUGGCCCAAAUAGCCUAUUUAUCCUAAUGAAGACACAGACAUAAAAAUUUGUUUUAAAAAGGUAAAAAUUUAACUAAAAGGAAGUCAUGCUCCAGUGGUUCAAAGGAAAAAAGAUUAAAUCAUAUCAUGCUUAAUAUGCAUUUUGAACAAUAUAUUUCAUAUGAAUUUCAUCCAGUUUUGUAAUUUAUCAGUCACUAAAAAAUUUAGUUAAAUUUGGAGUUUUUUUUUAAAAAUGUUUGUUUAUUUUUGAAAGAGAGAGCAAGAGAGGGGCAGAGAGAGAUGAAGACAGAGGAUCUGAAGUGGGUCUGUGCUGACAGCAGAGAGCCUCCCACAGGGCUCAAACUCACAAACCUUGAGAU
rnacentral:lncRNA from 1 species